GUACGUGAAACCGUUCAGGGGUAAACGGGAGAAAUCCUGAAUUCGAAAGGGGCCGGAUUCAAUGCCUACCGAGUACACAACAGGACGCAUCUGCCAGAUGUUGCUGGUCGCCCGCGGCGAUUCAUUUCGCUUGCGGUGUCGUUCCCGGCGAUCACUCGGCAUGUUGUGCUUUUCCUGGUGCCGGAGGAGUGCACUUCCACCCUAGUAGAUACGUCGCGACCCGUUGGGUGCCGGUCAAAGGCCCGGGAUGGCAGCCCGUGCGUCCUGCGGGGGUUCCCGCAGGCGCGUGGACUCCUGGUGACCCGGCCGGCUGCCCGACGGUAUGACCAGAGGAGUCGAUCCGCUGAAUUGGAAACACUAUGGCUGUGCAGCGUCCGGCCCGGCGCCGACGCGUGCGGGGAAUGUGGUGCAAACCGGGGGUGCCCGUGCUAAGCACGGCCCCGGCCCCGCCGCGCGCUCGGAUAGUCCGGUGUCCUCGGACUGGAUCACCACUCCCGUCUGCGACGAUCACCUUCGGA
rnacentral:rRNA from 1 species